AUGAAUCAUCUUUUCUUAUAAUGACACAUUGACAAACUCAUUAAAUGGGAUAAAUAAAACUACAAUUAUCAAACCCUCAAGCCCGUUAAAAGUAUUACUAUACAAGUAAGACUAUGUGAUUUUCUCCGGUAAAAAAUCAAGACGCAGGCUAGCAUGCGGGACCUCAACAUAUGUCUCCCACGGAGUGAAAGGUUUUAUGACAGUAGGAUAUGUGUUUCUUUGAGGAUGCGUGUAGGUGCGCAGAUCAUGCACCACCUCGUCCACGACCCAUAUUCCCAUGCUAGACGCGCCCAGAAAAUCAAAAACCUCCUCGUGCAUGCAUUAAUUCUUCACCAAACCCACAUAAGAGAUGAGGCCCUCACGUUUUCCUCUAGCACCAAGCUCACCUCCACUCUUCAAAGUGAUAAAAAUAAAAAGGGUCAGGGCUACUGAGUUAUGUAUAUGUAUACGGAUAUAACAUCUAGCAUCCCAAAAGAUGAUUCGGACAAAAAGUAAAUUUUAUGACUGCCAGUGUCCCCUUUAAAACCUCUGACUACCAUAGCCUGCAGUAUAUUAUCUUAAACUAUCAGAAUAUAAUCUUCAGAUUAUGAUGACUACAACGAUAUAACAGCAGAUUAGCAUUGACAGGUCAGUUUAUAAGUGGUCCAGGGAAAUUGAGUAAAGUAACAGGAAUGUUUUGUUUGGCAGGGGACUAGGGGGGCAAUAGAGUGGGGGCGGGGGGGAGAGAAAUAGAAGGGAAAUACUGUGGGUCCCAUAUGAGUCCCACACUCUCUACUCUAAUUUAAAUAUUUCUCCUCUAUUUCCAGCCUCUCUACCAGACAAUGCUAAUUUAAUGAAAGUACAUAUUUUCUGAACUCAGCAUUGUAGGGUGGACUACCUUUAUAGGUGGUCCGUGAACCACUAUUAAUGACCCUAGGGUGAAUGAUGUUGGUAGUCAGUCUAGAUCCGCUCAAGGCCAUGGCAAACGGUGGUGGUGCUCGAUCCACAUCCACACAAGGCCCGGACAAACAAUGGUGGUGCUCGGUCUAGAUCCGGUUAAGGCCACUACAAACGAUCAAAGUGGUGCUCAUGAUGUUCUCUCGCGUUUCCAGAUCUGAUCAUAGAGAUCCUCAUCCCCGCCUUUGCUGCUACAACUCUUAUUAUUUACUUUAAUUAUUUUUAGUUUGUUUGUAUCGUUUAACUGAAGAAUUAGGAAUCUUCAAUUUUCUUGAUCUGUGUAUAUGUAUUUUGGGAACUUUUGAUAUGUCAAGUGGAUUCAUGGUUUGAUUUGUUCUUUGCUGCAAGGAACCAUGUGUUUGGUUUUUCCCCCAACUUCUGUUUUGAGCUCCAUGUUUUCAAGCUAAUAAUGUAUUCUAAUCCACAGCACCAUGAAUUAUGAGAGCAUCAGGUGGACAAUCGGUGUUGGAUUGAUGUCCCUACACAGUACAUUACUCACAAUGUGUUUGGGUUAUUUGUUUUUUUAUUGCUUGAAUUAUUGUUUGGAAUUUGUUGAUGAACUAAUAUGGAAAUUCUGCUAUUUAAUUUUUAGAUUUUGAA